AAAGCUGGUUCUUGGUUAAGACCCAUAAAAUUGGUACGUGUAAGUACACACCUUACAGGAAUUAAAAGGAUUAUAAGGAAACAUAAACAACUUUAUAUGCCUACAAAUUUAACACUUAGAAGAAAUGGAUAAAUUCCUAGAACGACACAAAUUACCAAAACUGACUUGAAAAGUAAUGGAAAACCUGAAGAGACCUAUGCAAAAUAAUGAAAUCAGUGACUGAAAACAAGAGAGGAGGGAAAUUGAAGUGGAGAGUUUACAAAGUUCUCUAUUAUUUGAAUCUUUUACAAUGAGAAGGUAGUCCUGAAUUGUUUGUGUGAUAAUAAAAAGGUCUGUUUCUGCUAGCUGAGGUCGUUGUACAUUUCAGCCUAAGCAAACUCAUAGGACAUUGACCCAGCACCAAAUGUAUUUAGUUUUUAAAAGGCAAACAGGAUGCAGUGCAGCACACAGAACAGCAAGCCGUGGUCUUGUACCUCCCAGGCAUGGCUUGCAACGUUCCUCACAUGCUGCUUAGAGAAAACGCAUGGUCAUAAGAAAUGCAGCUCAAAGUGUGCACACUACCACAGCUCAGGGAAGCAUUCGCUCUGGAUCCUUUAAGCUUUUAUUCCUGGUAAGGCAGCCUGCUCUCUCAGCACGUUGGGUUCUCCAGGAAGGAGGCUCUGAGACGGACAUUAGCAUGGAGGAGGUUUACUAGCAGAAGAUAAGAGGGGAAAGCUGGCUCGGGAAGAGGGAAAGGUCAAGUUGCAAUGUGAUCUCCACUGAAGCUUUAGCUGGCCUCUAGCUCCGAAGAAAAGAAGACCUUCCAGUGGUGUUCUGAGUCUGGGAAGAACCGAGGGGAGAGAGGGAAAGAGGAGGGAACCAGAAACAUGGUGGAGUAGGAGGAUCCUGAGCUCACCUCAUCCCAUGCACACACCAAGGCAACAGCUACACCUGUACAACUUAUCUGAAAAUGACCUGAAGACUGGCAGAAAACAUCUUCUACAGCUAGUCAUAGAGAGAAUGCCACAUCGAAAAGGGUAGGAGGUGUGGAGAUGUUGUUGGGAACCAAACCCUGGGUGUGACUAAUCACAAACAGAAGGGACAUUGAAAGCAUAGAGGAGUGAGGGGAUCAUACCCCACACUGGAUACCACCCAACCUAGGGACCUGCACUGGGAAGACAAGUCCCCAUAAACCUGGCUCUGAAAACCAGUAGAGCUUAACUCCAGGAGCUUUCAGCAGGACUUAACUCUGGGAGAGCAGGAGGAUGAUAAGAACACCGAGUUCCCGCCCUUUAAAGAGCCGGCAUACCAAAUAGCUAAGCCCACGACACAGCACAUAAGUAGCAGUUUGAAAAGCACCUGGCAUAUAUGUAUAUAGUGAGCUAUUGACUAAUCUUAGAAUGUGUGCUGGUGGGGCAGGGAUCUGCAGGAGAUUUCUCCAGGAGCAAAAGUGCUGGCAGGUGCCAUUUCCCCCUCCCCCAGCCCAGAUAGCCAAACACUAGCAGGAGCCAGCACUAACAAUCUCCACCUAUCUUGCUAGCAUCAUGUGCCCUGCCCCCACAUGAUGUACCCACACCACCCAACCCACCCACCUCUUCAAGCAUCCCACCAAAGCAGCUCUUGUUCCACCACACCUGGCAGACAUCCCUGACUGGGACCAGCACCACUCCAAAGUAACUCCUGCCCCAAGUGAAAGGGAGAUAACACACACACACCAAUGCAUCUAUAGUUCCCACAGCUGGGCCUCUUAACUGGCUGUGCAGGGAGCAAGCCCUGCCCUUCAAUGCACAUAAAACUAUAGCACACAGGCUAAUUCAGACAGCAAGGCUGACUGCUAGCCCUGCCCACCAACCUGCAACCAGCUGCAGCCACUCUUCUCAACAAUGCAGAAAGAAAACCCUGCCCAGUGUGCCCACAGCAGGCAAAGCAGUCACAGCUCAGCCACAACAGGAAGACACACACAGUUCACAGAGGGAACACCCUGUAGUACCUGGUCCUGGUGACCAGGGGGAUUGCACUACAGGGUACCACAUGACUUCUUCUACAUAAGACCAUUAUUUAUUUUCAAGAUCAGGAGACAUAGCUGACUUGCCUAAUACAUAGAAGCAAACACAGAGAGUUAGAAAAAAUGAGGAGACAGAGGAAUAUGUUCCAAAUGAAAGAACAAAACAAAAUCACAGUAAAAAAAGCUAAAUGAAACAGAGAUAAGCAAUAUUGCUGAUAAAGGGUUCAAAGUAAUGGUCAUAAAAAUACUCACUAAACUUGAGGAAAGAAUAGAUAGACUGAAUGAGUACCUCAGCAAAGACAUAGAAAAUAUAAAAAAAAGCAGCCAGAGCUGAAGAAUUCAAUAGCGAAAUGAAAAAACUAUACGGAGAGCAAAUCAACAGAUUAGAAAAUGUGAAAGAAUGGAUCAGCAAUUGGAAGACAGGGUAAUUGAAAGCAACCAAGCUGAACAGCAAAAAGAAAAAAAAAGAAUAAUAAAAAAUGAGAAUAGGUUAAGGGAACUCUGUAACAUCAUCAAGCACGAAACAUUCACAUUAUAGGGAUCCCAGAAGGAGAAAAGAGAGAAGGAGGAAGAAACUUACUUGAAGAAAUAAUACUGAAAUUUUCCCUAAUAUGAAGAAGGAAACAGACACACAGAUCCCAGGAAUCACAGAGAGCUCCUAACAAGAUUAACCCAAGGAGGUCAGUACCAACACACAUAAUAAUCAAAAUGGCAAAAAAUAAUAAUAGAGUUUUAAAAUCAUCAAAAGGAAACAGUUAAAUGCAAGGGGAAUCCCAUAAGGUUGUCAGCUAAUUUUUCAGGAAAAACUUCACAGGCCAGAAGAGAGUGGCAGGGUAUAUUCAAAGUACUGAAAAGAAAAAAAAAAAAACCCUACAAUCCAGGAUAUUCUAUACAGCAAGGUUGUCAUUCAAAACUGAAGGAGAGAUAAAGAGUUUUCCAAACAAACAGAAGUUAAAGGAUUUUAUUACCAUGAAACGAGCCUUACAAAAAAAAAAAAAGUUAAAGUGAAUUAUUUAAGUGCAAAGAAAGGGCCAAACUAAAAGUAAGAAAAUUAUAAAAGGAAAAAAUUCACAAAUCAAAUCAAACAUGUAGUAAAGGUAGUAGAUUAAUCACUGAUAAAGCCAGUAUAUUUAGAAUGUAAAAGUAAUAAAAUCAAUUAUAUCUACAAAAUUAGUCAAGAGAUACACAAAAUGAAAAUAUGUAAAAUAUUACAUCAUAUACAUAAAACAUGGAGAAGGGAGUAAAAUUUAGUGCUUUUAGUAUGUAUUCAAAUUUAAGUGACCAUCAGCUUAAUAUAGACUGCUAUACACAUAGGAUAUUAUGUAUGAAACCAGUGGUGAGCACAAAUCAAAAACCUGUAAUAGAUACACAAAAAUAGAGAAAGAAAUUCAAGUGUAACACUAAAGAAAGCCAUCAAACCACAAGUGAAGAGAGCAAGAAGAAAGGAAGAGAGAAGCCCUAGAAAAAACAACCAGAAAACAAUAAAAUGGCAAUAAGUAUAUACCUAUCAAUGAUGAUUUUAAAUGUAAAUGGACUAAAUGUUCUAGUCAAAAGAAAUAGGAUGACUGAAUGGUUAAAAAAAGAAGAGUUAUCUAUACACUGCCUACAAGAGACUUGCUUCAGACCUAAAUACACAUACAGACAAAAAGUAAAAUAAUGGAAAAAGAUAUUCCAUGCAAAUGGAAGCAAAAAAAAAACUACAGUAGCAAUAAUUAUAUCAGACAAAAUAGAUUUUAAAACAAAGACUAUAACAAGAGACAAAGGGCACUAUAUAAUGAUAAAGAGAUCAAUCCAAAAAGAGGAUAUAACAAUUGUAAAUACCUAUGCAACAUAACAGCACCUAAAUAUAUGCAGCAAAUAUUAACAGACAUAAAGAUAGAAAUAGAUCAAAUAUAUAUCAAUAUAUUGAUAUUGGAAUUCUUAUCCAAAAUAAAGAACUUAUACAACUCAAUACCAAAAGAAACAGUCAUAUAAGAACCUAAACAGAUAUUUUUCCAAAGAAGACAUACAAGUGGCCAAAAGACACAAGCAAAGAUGUUUAACAUCACUCAUCAUCAAGGAAAUACAAAUCAAAACCACAAUGACAUACUUCCUCACACUGGUGAGAAUGGAUAGUAUCAAAAAGAUAAGAAAGAGGGGUGCCUGAGUGGCUCAAUCAAGCAUCCAGCUCUUGAUUUCAGCUCAGGUCAUGAUCUCACUGUCAUGAGUUCAAGCCCCACAUUGGACUCUGCACUGACAGUGUGGAGCCUGCUUGGGAUUCUCUCUCCUCCUCUCUCUCUGUCCCUCCCCACUUACUCUCUCUUUCUCUCUCAAAAUAAAUAAACUUUAAAAAAUCAUAAGAAAUAACAGGUAUUGGCAAAGAUAUAUAGAAAAAGCAAACUGCGUACUGUUGGUGGGAAUGUAAAAUGGUGCGGCCACUGUGAAAAGCAGUAUGUAGUUUGUUUAAAAAUCGAAUUCUGGGUAUUUACCCAAGAAAACAAAAACGCUAAUUUGAAAAGAUAUAUGUACCCCUAUGUUUAUUGCAGUAUCAUGUAUAAUAGCUAAGAUACUGGAGUCCACGGUUAGAAGAAUGGAUAAAGAAGACACAGCUAUAUGCGUGCGCGUGUGUGUGUGUGUGUGUGUGUGUGUAAUGGAAUAUUAGUCAUAAAAAGGAUGAGAUAUUACCACUUGUCAGAACGCGGAUGGGCCUGGAGGGUAUUAUGCUAAGUGAAAUAAGAGAAAGACAAAUACCAUAGAAUUUCACUUAUAUAUGGAAUCUAAGAAACAAAACAAAUGAAUAAGCCAAAAAAGCAGAAUCAGACCCAUAGAUACAGAGAACAAACUGGUCGUUGUUAUAGGGGAGGGGGUUGGGGAUGGGCAU